UUAACCUGCCCUAAGGUGAAGCAUACUCCCGGGAAACUGGGGCUAAUACUUCAUAGUGGAUAUGUCCUGGAAUGGUAUAUCCUCGAAAGAUCCGUCGCCUUAGGAUGGGACUGCGUCCGAUUAGGUUGUUGGCGGGGUAACGGCCCACCAAGCCAUUGAUCGGUACGGGUUGUGGGAGCAAGAUCCCGGAGAUGGAUUCUGAGACAUGAAUCCAGGCCCUACGGGGCGCAGCAGGCGCGCAAACUUUACAAUGCGAGCAAUCGUGAUAAGGAAACCCUGAGUGCCUGUCGAUGCAGGCUGUUCAUAUAUCUAAAUCAUAUGUGAAGAAAGGGCAGGGCAAGACCGGUGCCAGCCGCCGCGGUAAUACCGGCUGCUCGAGUGAUGGCCACUAUUACUGGGUUUAAAGCGUCCGUAGCUUGACUGUUAGGUCCCUUGGGAAAUCUUCACGCUCAACGUGAAGGCGUCUAAGAGAUACCGGCAGUCUUGGAACUGGGAGAGGUAAACCGUACUUCGGGGGUAGGAGUGAAAUCUUGUAAUCCUCGAGGGACGACCUAUGGCGAAGGCAGUUUACCAGAACAGCUUCGACAGUGAGGGACGAAAGCUGGGGGAGCAAACGGGAUUAGAUACCCCGGUAGUCCCAGCCGUAAACAAUGUGCGUUAGGUGUGUCGGUAACCACGCGUUACUGAUGCGCCGAAGAGAAAUCGUGAAACGCACCACCUGGGAAGUACGGUCGCAAGGCUGAAACUUAAAGGAAUUGGCGGGGGAGCACCACAACAGGUGGAGCCUGCGG
rnacentral:rRNA from 1 species